UACCCAUCAUCUUAUGUGCUUUCUAGUUGAUGGGUGUAUGUAGCAAACAUCAGACAAGACGAGGGUGGUCAAUUUUGUGAUCCUUCAGACUUUGAAUCAUCAUCAUCUCCAAUUAGCCAUUUCAUACUUUAGUAUUAUCGUCAGAUAAAAUCACAUUGGUUACCACCUUAAUUAUGAGUUUAAUUAGGUCAUUUGGGUAGUUAACUAUACAUCUCAACUAUUACUAGAGUAAUAUUUUAGCCCAGUAUCUAUUUUGCAAGGUAUGAUUAAUAAACUUUCUUUUUCUUUUCUCGACUUUUUCCUUGAGAAUCAUACCCUUUCCUUUUGUAUGGGAACUAUGUACAAGUUUAGUAAGCCUGGUAAUAGCCACGAUUAGCUGAUGUUUGUCUAUGUUGCACGGAUACCCGGUCAACGUUCCGGACACGGUUAAGACACUGCGGGGGCUGUUUUGUAAAUAUUGAUAUUGAAUUUGUGUUUCUGAGCUAAUACGGAAUUGAAUUUCUGCUUCUGUGGGAAGAUAUGAAAUUCCAUAAAUUGGAAACUGCAAUUCAAUUGCAAAUCAGAAAUUGAAAACUGGAAACUGCAAUCGAAUUUAGAGGUAGGUAGAUGGAAGGAUAGGUAAAUUGAUAGCAAAGCUCAAUCGUUGAAUAUAAUUUGGUUGAAUGAAUGGUAGAUACCCCAGAUUCUUCGUCAAGCAGGGAGAGUUAGAAAGAGAGAGAACAGAGGAGAGAGUAGUUUUCAUUGGCUUCCUAGUUUACUUUGUUGAUGUUCAGUAUUUUCUUUUGGUAGGUUUUGUACUUGCACAGAUUUAAUCUCUCUCUCUCCGUUGGAGUAUUGUUUUUAAUAUAUGUAUUUUGUAAAAUAAUGGCGAUCUCUCUGUUAUGUUGUUUGUUCUGUUUGAAUUUUGUAGAAGCUGAAAGCUGGUUUGAUUGUAUGCUUAUUAAAGAUGUGCUUCCCAUCUCUUCCCAUGGAACUCUAGCCUUUGAUAAGACCCAGCAUGAUUGUUGGGCUUUUGCUUGUUGAAGGUGAUUUUGCUUGAACUUGGUUUCCUAGAAAACUUUUGAAAAUUUACAAGGAUUUGAGCAAAGGCUGAGCCAUAAGUAAUGUUUAUAUGAAUUUGAGCUUGAGAUUAUUUAAUAACAGUCUAAAUAGUUGGGGUUGCAACUCCAACCCCACAAUUAGCUUGAAUGAAUUUCUUCUUCUUCUUCUUCUUCUUUAAUUUUUAGGUAAUAGUUUACGGUUACAAGUUGAUAGCUAGUUGGCUGACUUCUCUCCUUGUUAUUUCAGUUACAGGUUUAUUAUUUACCAUACUUACCUUGGCAUCAAAUUGAACUAUAGCGAACUAGAAUUUGUGCACUAUGAGUAUAGAUUAAUUGAGUUUGUUUGCUUUUUGUCGGUCAAGUUACUUGCGCUCUCCAACCAAUGGUAGCAGCAGCGUAAGGGUCUUCAUGGUCCAGUUGGGUUUCAUGUAGUCUUAUGAUAUUGGGAGUCAUAGGUUGCUUAAGGUUUUUUUUUUUUUUCUUUGUGUAGGUUAUUAUUUCUAGGGAGUUUCUAAGCGACUUUUGCUCUCUUUGUACAUGUUUAGUUUAUCAAACAUGUUAGUAAUGUAAAAAUUACUUCCAUUGAAUUAUAAAUUGUCAUUAUGAUGUAGUUCAUAUUAUU